rnacentral:rRNA from 1 species
UACACAUGCAGUCGACGCGAAAGCCCCGCAAGGGGUGAGUAGCGUGGCAGACGGGUGAGUAACGCGUGGGUGACCUGCCUUCGAGUGGGGGAUAACGUCUCGAAAGGGACGCUAAUACCGCAUGACAUCCCGCCGUUGAAGAGGCGGCGAUCAAAGCCGGGGCCGCAAGGCCUGGCGCUUGAAGAGGGGCCCGCGUCCGAUUAGCUAGUUGGUGGGGUAACGGCCCACCAAGGCGACGAUCGGUAGCCGGCCUAAGAGGGCGGACGGCCACACUGGGACUGAGACACGGCCCAUACUCCUACGGGAGGCAGCAGUGGGGAAUUGUUCGCAAUGGGCGCAAGCCUGACGACGCAACGCCGCGUGGAGGAUGAAGACCUUCGGGUCGUAAACUCCUGUCGAGCGGGACGAACGGCCCGCGACCUAAUACGUCGUGGGAGUGACGGUACCGCGAGAGGAAGCCCCGGCUAACUCCGUGCCAGCAGCCGCGGUAAUACGGGGGGGGCGAGCGUUGUUCGGAAUUACUGGGCGUAAAGGGCUCGUAGGUGGCCCGCUAAGUCGGUCGUGAAAUCCCUCGGCUCAACCGGGGAAUGGCGUCUGAAACUGGCGGGCUGGAAUCCGGGAGAGGGAUGCGGAAUUCCAGGUGUAGCGGUGAAAUGCGUAGAUAUCUGGAGGAAC